CUGGACAACAAACCAAGCUCGUCUGACUGUGAGUCCCAGCAGCUCUCAGUUCUUUAAAGGAGACUUUGUGUCUCUGAGCUGUGAGGAGGACGACAGCUCUGCUGGAUGGACUCUGAGGAGAAACACAAGCAGAGACACCAGAGCUGAGUGUGAGGAGUGGGGAGAAACAACAGGUUCAUUGUGUAACCUCAAUGGUAUCCUCCUUUGGGACAGUGGAGUUUACUGGUGUGAGUCCAGAGAGGGUCCCAUCAGUAACAUGGUUAACCUGACAGUCACUGGUGGAUCAGUGAUCCUGCAGAGUCCUGUCCUCCCUGUGAUGGAGGGAGAUGACG